rnacentral:rRNA from 1 species
UACGUAGGUGGCAAGCGUUGUCCGGAUUUACUGGGCGUAAAGAGCGCGCAGGCGGCCAAGUCAGUCGAAUGUGAAAGCCCCCGGCUCAACUGGGGAGGGUCAUUCGAUACUGCUCGGCUCGAAGACAGGAGAGGGAAGUGGAAUUCCCGGUGUAGUGGUGAAAUGCGUAGAUAUCGGGAGGAACGCCAGUGGCGAAGGCGACUUUCUGGCCUGUUCUUGACGCUGAGGCGCGAAAGCUAGGGGAGCAAACGGG